UCUAAUUCAUUUCCUCGAUCUUUAGUAAAAUGCCUCCUCUCUUUUACGAUACUCCUUCCACACUUUUCUCCUUAAUGAUCUUCAUUCUUCUUCUCCUUCCUUCUUAUCUAGACUCUUCUACAUCUUUCUCUUCUUCAUUCUCGUCGUUCUCCUCAGACCUUCUUCUUUUUUUUUUCUGUUUCUUCCAAAUCAGAAGCUUUAAACUGUACUCAACAAUGGCAGUUACGACCAAGAAUCUCCCUCCAUUCAAUCCGCCUUCGAUGAACUUCCUGCCGUGAGUGAGAAUGUGAGAAACGGAUUCAUCCUCCUUCAACGCAAAGGCUGGAGUAGGACUGUCGGAGAGCGCCCUUGCUGUCACCUUCACCGUCACCAGCACACAGUUGUUGCCGCCGCAGCACUGCAUUAGCUCUAUCUUUUGUUGGGUUGUUGGGCUAAUAAUUGUAUGAUGGGCUUUUUGUUGGAUCUGUAAUAGGUAUUCUACUGGAUUUGGAUUUGUAAAUAGAGUAUAUUUUAUUUCUCUAAUAUUUAAACUGAAUUAUAAACCGAAUAAACCGAAGAAAAAAUAAUCGAUUGAAGCUA